GGAGCUGCCUGCCCCUUUUGCCCUGCAGUCCCUUCUGCUGUGUGAGGACACAGCAUUCAAGGCACCAUCUUGGGAGCAGGGCUGCUGGACCCUCUCCAGACAAAGGACCUGCUGAUAUCUUGAUCCGGAACUUCUCAACCUCUAGAACUAUAUUCUCCAACUGACCGGAUGGGUAAAGUCCUACAGAGGAGGCCACAAGGGGGCUGGAUGGAGAACUUGAGCAGGCAAGAUGCGUUCAUGUGAGAAUUUCCUCGUGUCCCAGAGGGAGGGGGGCAGCCUGGUGACAGGGGACUCCCACAGGUCUGGCCUUCACCUACCAGUACCACCUAUAGCUGUGCUGACCUGGCAGAGGAGCUGAAUUGGACCCCACCCCGUCCUGACACUCAGACCUCUAGGUGACUAUAUUGGAAACAGAGCCUUUAAAGAUGUAAUCAAAUUAAAAUGAGGCCAUCAGGAUGGGCUCUAAUCCACUCCAAUUUGUGUCCUCAUAAGAAAAGGAGAUAAGGACACCAACACGCAGAAGAAAACCAUGUGGGUCCACAGGAAGACGAAGACAGCACAGCCAAGGAGAAGGGUCUCAGUAGGAGUGAGCCCAGGACACCUGACCUCAGACUUCCAGCCUGCUGUGGUGACACCAUAAGUCCCUGUUUAUUUAAGCAGCCCAGUGUGGCACCUUGUCCCUGCUGGCUGGCAAGGUAGACUCAGGCAAUAUACCUGAGCAUGUCACCUCUCCCUCUGAGCCCUAACUUUCUCACCCACAGAGACAGGAAGCCACACCUGACCAUACAGGUCACUGUGAGGCCAUGACACCUCUCAGGUACAGGAUGCUGUCUACAUGGCAGGCCCAGAUGUUAGAAACAGGCUGCCAAGUGAGAGCAGGUAAUGGACAACCUCAGGCCUUAUAUUGACUGUCAUACUCUUCCUCAAAUGGCCCAGGAAAACAGACACAUUAGAAGCCCUCCAUUUUACAGAUGGGAAAACUGAGGCAGGGGCAGUUACAUGGCUUCAUGGUUAGGCAGCAGACUUGGAUGUGCAGUUUUCCCCACAGCUGCUGCUGCUGCUUCUGGACACACAGACCAGCCCCUGCAGCCUGGGCACUCAACUCUCAGCUCUCAGCCCUAGAGGAUCCCAGCAAGUGAACCCCUCCUGACUGGCAUGGUGUGCACAGGUCAGCACCACCAGCAAACACAGCUGGAAGGGGCUACUUCACCAGGUCCAAUCUCUUGAACACCCAGGAGUAAGGGGGUCUGCAUCGACCCCUACACUCCCGAAGCCAGGCCUUCCUCACUCCCUCUCCAAGUUGACCCAAGUCUCUGCUCUCUAUGCAGCCAUCCUGACCUGGGAAUGGAGCCAGGGCCAAGGCCAGGAGUGGCCCCCACCCCUACACUCAGCAGCUGCCUGGGCCCCAGUGCUUCUUAACAUAGGCACCAAUUGUAGUUCCCAGGCAGCCACCCCCUGUGCUCCAGGGACUUUGGCAGGGAUUUGGUUUAACCUUGCAAAGGCCAGACCAUCAACAUCUCAAGCCACCCAGGUACAGGCCCAGUUGUCUACCUUUUCCUGUGCUCACAGAGCCCCUGGCUGGCUCUGCCCUCAGAUCACCCAAGUCAGAGCCAUGCCAACAAAAAUGACCAGGGCAGUGCCUGGGCAACAGACACUGACAGGGCUUUUUAUCACACCUGAGAUCUUUAUGACAACCUUGAACUGGGCAGUAAUUGUCAUGCCGUGUGCAAGCUGAGGAUGCAGAGGUUUGGAGACCUUAGGUCACUUGCCCAAGACAGUGAGGCCAGGUAGGGGCCAAGCUGAGGGUGAAGCCAGGUCUGUGGGACUGGAAAGCUGGGCUCCUCCCUUGUGGGAGUUACAGGCCACACAUAAUGGCUCUGCCCUAGCUGUACUCCCACAGUCUGCCAUCACCCAGCAAGCCACUGUCCUGAGUGGCUCCAAGGCUCAGACAUGCCCUGAGAGCACAAAACAGCUCAUGGUAUGGACCAGGCCCCUUCCAAGUUCUUCACGUGGUACUAAGUCCUGACAGCAACCCACUGAAGCACUAUCAUCACCCUGUCUUGCAGGGAAACUGAAACAUGGGAAGUCACACAGCCUGACAGGUCCCAUCUGGCACUCUAUGUGGCUCUGCUGAUAUUAUUCUGAUGAGGGGUCUAACCCAGUGCUCCUCACUGCUCCACAAUCACUUGGAAGCUGUUAAGAGCAGAGUUCAACAUCCCUGAUAAUCCAACUUGAAUCUCUAGCAAGCUUCCCAGGUGGUGUUUCCGGGUGACCACGUCUUGCAUAACUUCAUCCCAGCAUAGCCCUCAUCAGGACAAAAGUACCCGAUCUUCACAACUGUAGAUCAUGGUCUCAGACCUCAGUGAACAUGCAUCACCAGAGUAUUUAUUUCCAAAUGCAGGUCCCAGGCCACCUCAGAACUUGAAACAGGGAGUGGGAGGGUCUGUGGAGUCUGCAUAUCCCGCCCACACUCCCAAUACUCCUGAAGCAGGGUCAGAGGACCAAACUUUGAGAAAUGGGUUUAGACCUCAUAAGGUUAGUGGUUUCUCCCCUACCAGAUAGAGGGUAUCACCAGUAUCACAGACAAGAAAACUGAGGCACACACUGGCUGAGAGCUAGCCAUGUCACACAGCUAAUGAGAGAGAGAAUAGUAGUACCCUGAUCAAGGUCCACAGCUGGAACUGGGGGAGCAAAAGCUGUACCCUGACUCCCACCUCCAAAUUCUGCACUAAUGCGGCCACACUGCUGGGUCUCAGUAGUGCACCACAGUGCCACUUCCCCUCUCCGUGCCCUGCUGUGCUUUCCAUGACAAAAUGUAUGUUUACUUACUUCCUAUUUUCCCUAGGAUGUAAGUUCCAAGUACAUAUACCUGGGUCUGUUUUGUUCCUUGCUGCCUCUUCUGUGCAUGUAAAAGGCUCUGCAUAAAGACUUGUGGAAUGAGUGAAUAAAUGGCUCAGUAACAACAGGGAACAAUCAUGAGGCACUGAGUGUGUGCCAGAUCCCAAGACAGGAGCCAGGGAUCCUGUCCUGAAGUCCUUGGGACCCCUGACAAAGUAGGUUAGUUAUUACGCCCUUACAGAUGAGGACAUGAAAGCAGAGAAGUAAAGUAAGCUACGUUCAGCCACACAGCUAGAGGGUGGUGGUGCUGGGUCAGAUGGCCUGGAGAAGUCAAGGAAGAUCAUGCAAGAAGAUUGUAAACAGAGAAGAAGAGCCAGGGAAGCUAACAGGAAGCUCCUCAGGCCAGAAACUGGCCACUGCAUUCAGCAACAAUGGAGUCAGUGAAACUUCAGUUUGUGGGUGGGGGCUGGGGAGAGGGGCAUAAAGCACAGGACAUGGCUUCCAGGAGGAGGUGCACUGAGGCCUCAUCAAUGCCAGUGCAUUGGGCAAGCUGCAGAUGCCCAGUGCUGUAGGCCGCAGCUCCUGAUGCAGCACAGCCUAAGCAGGCAGCCCUGGGCACAGGGAGCCAUGCAGACUAGCCUGGAAGGCUAUGACGGAGACCACCUGAAGUGAAGGCGGCUCCUCUCCAACAGGGACACUGAUUCUCAGUGCCCAGCAGGAUCACCCAGGAGUCACCAGCAUCCCCAUCCAUCACUCCAGAAGGAGGCAUUCUGUCUGCAAUUAGCAUGACCUCCAUCAGCUUUGAGUGCACUAUAACUGGAGCUUACUCCACAGUUCAUUCCUUGGCCCCCUGACCCACCUGCCUCCAUAACCACAGCAGCUCUCAGAAACCAGCUUCUGCUGCUCAGGUGCACCUGCCACCCUUGCUCUGAUGAGCAGGAAGAACUCAACAGAGCAAGUGGCACCUUUUUAUUCCACCCUGGAACAUGCUCAAGGAACUGACUCUAGACUCUGACAUGACAUCUGGCCAUCCAUCCCAAAAGCACAAUGCUCAGUUCCCAAGAGUCAGUAAGUUACAUCAAAGUCCUGAUAGCAAACUCCAGACAUUAAUCUAGAGAAAGGUUAAUGUCACAAGACCGAAAAGGGCAGGAUACAAAGCAGAAUAUAAUUUAUGAUUCCAA